UACAGAGGUCCCGAGCGUUGUUCGGAUUCACUGGGCGUAAAGAGUGCGUAGGUGGCAUGGUAAGUUUGAUGUGAAAGCUCAGGGCUCAACCCUGAAAUGGCAUUGAAUACUACUGUGCUGGAGGUUUGGAGGGGGGACUGGAAUUCUCGGUGUAGCAGUGAAAUGCGUAGAUAUCGAGAGGAACACCAGUGGCGAAGGCGAGUCCCUGGACAACACCUGACACUGAGGCACGAAAGCUAGGGGAGCAAACAGG
rnacentral:rRNA from 1 species